AAGAAGUUACUUCAGAACAGAACAAAUUGUACACCAGCAGUAUAAAACACACAACUACAAGUGACUUCAGAACAUAACAAAUUGUACAUAAGCAAUAUAAAACACACAACUACAAAUUACUUCAGAACAUAACAGAUUGUACAUAAGCAGUAUAAAACAAACAACUACAAAUUACUUCAGAACAGAAACAAAUUGUACAUCAGCAGUAUAAAACACACAACUACAAGUUACUUCAGAACAGAACAAAUUGUACAUAAGCAGUAUAAAACACACAACUACAAAUUACUUCAGAACAUAACAAAUUGUACACCAAGCAGUAUAAAACACACAACUACAAGUUACUUCAGAACAAAACAAAUUGUACACCAGCAGUAUAAAACACACAACUACAAGUUACUUCAGAACAUAACAGAUUGUACACCAAGCAGUAUAAAACACACAACUACAAAGUUACUUCAGAACAGAACAGAUUGUACACCAGCAGUAUAAAACACACAACUACAAGUUACUUCAGAACAUAACAGAUUGUACACCAGCAGUAUAAAACACACAACUACAAGUUACUUCAGAACAUAACAGAUUGUACACCAGCAGUAAAAAACACACAACUACAAGUUACUUCAGAACAUAACAAAUUGUACAUAAGAAAUAUAAAACACACAACUACAAAUUACUUCAGAACAUAACAGAUUGUACACCAGCAGUAUAAAACACACAACUACAAAUUACUUCAGAACAUAACAAUUGUACAUAAGCAGUAUAAACACACAACUACAAGUUACUUCAGAACAUACACAAAUUGUACAUAAGCAGUAUAAAAUAUACAACUACAAGUUACUUCAGAACAUAACAGAUUGUACACCAGCAGUAUAAAACACAUAACUACAAGUUACUUCAGAACAUAACAGAUUGUACAUUUGCAGUUAAAACACAAGACAGCAAGUUACUUCGUAACAUAAUAUAAUUGGAAACUGAUAUUUUACAUUAUACUGAAAUUCAAAUAUUAAACAAAACUGUUUUAAUUUAACAGUUUAAUGAGAACAAAAAGUAUGUAAAGGUAUAAAAUAUACAACUGCAAGUUACUUCAGAACAGAAACAGAUUGUACAUAGCAGUAUAAAACACACAACACAAGUUACUUCAGAAACAGAACAGAUUGUACACCAGCAGUAUAAAACACACAACUACAAGUUACUUCAGAACAUAACAAAUUGUACACAAGCAGUAUAAAAACACACAACUACAAGUUACUUCAGAACAUAACAGAUUGUACAUAAGCAGAAUAAAACACACAACUACAAAUUACUUCAGAAAAUAACAGAUUGUACACCAGCAGUAUAAAACACACAACUACAAGUUACUUCAGAACAGAACAAAUUGUACAUAAGCAAUAAAAAAAACACACAACUACAGGUUACUUUAGAACAGAACAAAUUGUACAUAAGAAAUAUAAAGCACACAACAACAAAUUACUUCAGAACAUAACAGAUUGUACACCAGCAGUAUAAAACACACAACUACAAGUUACUUCAGAACAAAACAGAUUGUACAUAAGCAGUAUAAAACACAUAACUGCAAGUUACUUCAGAAUACAACAGAUUGUACACCUGCAGUAUAAAACACAACUGCAAGUUACUUCAGAAAAGAACAAAUUGCACAUAAGGGAUAUAAAACACAUAACUGCAUGUUACUUCAGAACAUAACAGAUUGUGCAUUAGCAGUAUAAAACACACAACCAUAUGUUACUUCAGAACAUAACAGAUUGUACACUACCAGAAUAAAACACACAACCACAAGUUACUUCAGAACAUAAUAGAUUGUACACUAGCAGUAUAAAAUACACAACCACAAGUUACUUCAGAACAUAACAGAUUGUACAUUAGCAGUAUUAAACACACAACCACAAGUUACUUCAGAACAUAACAGAUUGUACAUCAGCAGUAUAAAACACACAACUACAAGUUACUUCAGAACAUAACAGAUUGUACACAAGCAGUAUACACAUACAAAUACAAGUUACUUCAGAACAUAACAGAGUGUACAUUAGCAGUAUAAAACACACAACCACAAGUUACUUCAGAACAUAACAGAUUGUACAUUAGCAGUAUAAAACACACAACUACAUGUUACUUCAGAACAUAACAGAUUGUACAUUAGCAGUAUAAAAUACACAACCACAAGUUACUUCAGAACAUAACAGAUUGUACAUUAGCAGUAUAAAACACACAACUACAAGUAUCUUCAGAACAUAACAGAUUGUUCAUUAGCAGUAUAAAACACACAACCACAAGUUACUUCAGAGCAUAACAGAUUGUACAUUAGCAGUAUAACACACAUAACUACAAGUUACCUCAGAACAUAACAGAUUGUACAUCAGCAGUAUAAAAUAUACAACUGCAAGUUUCUUCAGAACAUAACAGAUUAUACACAAGCAGUAUAAAACACAUAACUACAAGUUUCUUCAGAACAUAACAGAUUGUACAUCAGCAGUAUAAAAUAUACAACUGCAAGUUACUUCAGAACAUAACAGAUUGUACAUUAGCAGUAUAAAACACAUAACUACAAGUUACCUCAGAACAUAACAGAUUGUACAUUAGCAGAAUAAAACUCAUAACUACAAGUUACUUCUGAAC
rnacentral:lncRNA from 1 species